rnacentral:rRNA from 1 species
GGGUUGUGAGGUUAAGCGACUAAGCGUACACGGUGGAUGCCCUGGCAGUCAGAGGCGAUGAAGGGCGUGCUAAUCUGCGAUAAGCGCCGGUAAGGUGAUAUGAACCGUUAUAACCGGCGAUACCCGAAUGGGGAAACCCAGUGUGAUUCGUCACACUAUCAUUAACUGAAUCCAUAGGUUAAUGAGGCGAACCGGGGGAACUGAAACAUCUAAGUACCCCGAGGAAAAGAAAUCAACCGAGAUUCCCCCAGUAGCGGCGAGCGAACGGGGAGGAGCCCAGAGCCUGAAUCAGCAUGUGUGUUAGUGGAAGCGUCUGGAAAGGCGCGCGAUACAGGGUGACAGCCCCGUACACAAAAGCGCAUGUGCUGUGAGCUCGAUGAGUAGGGCGGGACACGUGGUAUCCUGUCUGAAUAUGGGGGGACCAUCCUCCAAGGCUAAAUACUCCUGACUGACCGAUAGUGAACCAGUACCGUGAGGGAAAGGCGAAAAGAACCCCGGCGAGGGGAGUGAAAAAGAACCUGAAACCGUGUACGUACAAGCAGUGGGAGCNNGUGACUGCGUACCUUUUGUAUAAUGGGUCAGCGACUUAUAUUCUGUAGCAAGGUUAACCGAAUAGGGGAGCCGGAGGGAAACCGAGUCUUAAUUGGGCGUUAAGUUGCAGGGUAUAGACCCGAAACCCGGUGAUCUAGCCAUGGGCAGGUUGAAGGUUGGGUAACACUAACUGGAGGACCGAACCGACUAAUGUUGAAAAAUUAGCGGAUGACCUGUGGCUGGGGGUGAAAGGCCAAUCAAACCGGGAGAUAGCUGGUUCUCCCCGAAAGCUAUUUAGGUAGCGCCUCGUGAAUUCAUCUCCGGGGGUAGAGCACUGUUUCGGCUAGGGGGCCAUCCCGGCUUACCAACCCGAUGCAAACUGCGAAUACCGGAGAAUGUUAUCACGGGAGACACACGGCGGGUGCUAACGUCCGUCGUGAAGAGGGAAACAACCCAGACCGCCAGCUAAGGUCCCAAAGUCAUGGUUAAGUGGGAAACGAUGUGGGAAGGCCCAGACAGCCAGGAUGUUGGCUUAGAAGCAGCCAUCAUUUAAAGAAAGCGUAAUAGCUCACUGGUCGAGUCGGCCUGCGCGGAAGAUGUAACGGGGCUAAACCAUGCACCGAAGCUGCGGCAGCGANNGUUGGGUAGGGGAGCGUUCUGUAAGCCUGUGAAGGUGGCCUGUGAGGGUUGCUGGAGGUAUCAGAAGUGCGAAUGCUGACAUAAGUAACGAUAAAGCGGGUGAAAAGCCCGCUCGCCGGAAGACCAAGGGUUCCUGUCCAACGUUAAUCGGGGCAGGGUGAGUCGACCCCUAAGGCGAGGCCGAAAGGCGUAGUCGAUGGGAAACGGGUUAAUAUUCCCGUACUUGGUGUUACUGCGAAGGGGGGACGGAGAAGGCUAUGUUGGCCGGGCGACGGUUGUCCCGGUUUAAGCGUGUAGGUGUGUGUUCCAGGUAAAUCCGGUUCACUUUAACACUGAGGCGUGAUGACGAGGCACUACGGUGCUGAAGUAACAAAUGCCCUGCUUCCAGGAAAAGCCUCUAAGCAUCAGGUAACAUCAAAUCGUACCCCAAACCGACACAGGUGGUCAGGUAGAGAAUACCAAGGCGCUUGAGAGAACUCGGGUGAAGGAACUAGGCAAAAUGGUGCCGUAACUUCGGGAGAAGGCACGCUGACACGUAGGUGAAGUGAUUUACUCAUGGAGCUGAAGUCAGUCGAAGAUACCAGCUGGCUGCAACUGUUUAUUAAAAACACAGCACUGUGCAAACACGAAAGUGGACGUAUACGGUGUGACGCCUGCCCGGUGCCGGAAGGUUAAUUGAUGGGGUCAGCGCAAGCGAAGCUCCUGAUCGAAGCCCCGGUAAACGGCGGCCGUAACUAUAACGGUCCUAAGGUAGCGAAAUUCCUUGUCGGGUAAGUUCCGACCUGCACGAAUGGCGUAAUGAUGGCCAGGCUGUCUCCACCCGAGACUCAGUGAAAUUGAACUCGCUGUGAAGAUGCAGUGUACCCGCGGCAAGACGGAAAGACCCCGUGAACCUUUACUAUAGCUUGACACUGAACAUUGAGCCUUGAUGUGUAGGAUAGGUGGGAGGCUUUGANNCCGGGUUGCGGACAGUGUCUGGUGGGUAGUUUGACUGGGGCGGUCUCCUCCUAAAGAGUAACGGAGGAGCACGAAGGUUGGCUAAUCCUGGUCGGACAUCAGGAGGUUAGUGCAAUGGCAUAAGCCAGCUUGACUGCGAGCGUGACGGCGCGAGCAGGUGCGAAAGCAGGUCAUAGUGAUCCGGUGGUUCUGAAUGGAAGGGCCAUCGCUCAACGGAUAAAAGGUACUCCGGGGAUAACAGGCUGAUACCGCCCAAGAGUUCAUAUCGACGGCGGUGUUUGGCACCUCGAUGUCGGCUCAUCACAUCCUGGGGCUGAAGUAGGUCCCAAGGGUAUGGCUGUUCGCCAUUUAAAGUGGUACGCGAGCUGGGUUUAGAACGUCGUGAGACAGUUCGGUCCCUAUCUGCCGUGGGCGCUGGAGAACUGAGGGGGGCUGCUCCUAGUACGAGAGGACCGGAGUGGACGCAUCACUGGUGUUCGGGUUGUCAUGCCAAUGGCACUGCCCGGUAGCUAAAUGCGGAAGAGAUAAGUGCUGAAAGCAUCUAAGCACGAAACUUGCCCCGAGAUGAGUUCUCCCUGAGACUUAAGGUCUCCUGAAGGAACGUUGAAGACGACG